UAAGCGACUAAGCGUACACGGUGGAUGCCCUGGCAGUCAGAGGCGAUGAAGGACGUGCUAAUCUGCGAAAAGCGCCGGCGAGGUGAUAUGAACCCUUGACCCGGCGAUGUCCGAAUGGGGAAACCCAGUGCAAUCCGUUGCACUAUCGUUAACUGAAUACAUAGGUUAACGAGGCGAACCGGGGGAACUGAAACAUCUAAGUACCCCGAGGAAAAGAAAUCAACCGAGAUUCCCCCAGUAGCGGCGAGCGAACGGGGAGCAGCCCGGAGUCUGAAUCAGCUUGUGUGUUAGUGGAACGGUCUGGAAAGUCCGACGGUACAGGGUGAUAGUCCCGUACACGAAAAUGCACAUGCUGUGAACUCGAAGAGUAGGGCGGGACACGUGGUAUCCUGUCUGAAUAUGGGGGGACCAUCCUCCAAGGCUAAAUACUCCUGACUGACCGAUAGUGAACCAGUACCGUGAGGGAAAGGCGAAAAGAACCCCGGCGAGGGGAGUGAAAAAGAACCUGAAACCGUGUACGUACAAGCAGUGGGAGCCUCUUUAUGGGGUGACUGCGUACCUUUUGUAUAAUGGGUCAGCGACUUAUAUUCUGUAGCAAGGUUAACCGUAUAGGGGAGCCGAAGGGAAACCGAGUCUUAACUGGGCGUUAAGUUGCAGGGUAUAGACCCGAAACCCGGUGAUCUAGCCAUGGGCAGGUUGAAGGUUGGGUAACACUAACUGGAGGACCGAACCGACUAAUGUUGAAAAAUUAGCGGAUGACCUGUGGCUGGGGGUGAAAGGCCAAUCAAACCGGGAGAUAGCUGGUUCUCCCCGAAAGCUAUUUAGGUAGCGCCUCGUGAAUUCAUCUUCGGGGGUAGAGCACUGUUUCGGCUAGGGGGCCAUCCCGGCUUACCAACCCGAUGCAAACUACGAAUACCGAAGAAUGUUAUCACGGGAGACACACGGCGGGUGCUAACGUCCGUCGUGAAGAGGGAAACAACCCAGACCGCCAGCUAAGGUCCCAAAGUCAUGGUUAAGUGGGAAACGAUGUGGGAAGGCACAGACAGCCAGGAUGUUGGCUUAGAAGCAGCCAUCAUUUAAAGAAAGCGUAAUAGCUCACUGGUCGAGUCGGCCUGCGCGGAAGAUGUAACGGGGCUAAACCAUGCACCGAAGCUGCGGCAGCGACACUUAUGUGUUGUUGGGUAGGGGAGCGUUCUGUAAGCCGUUGAAGGUGUGCUGUGAGGCAUGCUGGAGGUAUCAGAAGUGCGAAUGCUGACAUAAGUAACGAUAAAGCGGGUGAAAAGCCCGCUCGCCGGAAGACCAAGGGUUCCUGUCCAACGUUAAUCGGGGCAGGGUGAGUCGACCCCUAAGGCGAGGCCGAAAGGCGUAGUCGAUGGGAAACAGGUUAAUAUUCCUGUACUUGGUGUUACUGCGAAGGGGGGACGGAGAAGGCUAUGUCAGCCGGGCGACGGUUGUCCCGGUUUAAGCAUGUAGGCGGAGGUUCCAGGUAAAUCCGGUACCUUUUAACGCUGAGGUGUGAUGACGAGGCACUACGGUGCUGAAGUGAUAAAUGCCCUGCUUCCAGGAAAAGCCUCUAAGCAUCAGGUAACACGAAAUCGUACCCCAAACCGACACAGGUGGUCAGGUAGAGAAUACCAAGGCGCUUGAGAGAACUCGGGUGAAGGAACUAGGCAAAAUGGUGCCGUAACUUCGGGAGAAGGCACGCUGAUGUGUAGGUGAAGCCCCUGCGGGCGGAGCUGAAAUCAGUCGAAGAUACCAGCUGGCUGCAACUGUUUAUUAAAAACACAGCACUGUGCAAACACGAAAGUGGACGUAUACGGUGUGACGCCUGCCCGGUGCCGGAAGGUUAAUUGAUGGGGUUAGCGGCAACGCGAAGCUCUUGAUCGAAGCCCCGGUAAACGGCGGCCGUAACUAUAACGGUCCUAAGGUAGCGAAAUUCCUUGUCGGGUAAGUUCCGACCUGCACGAAUGGCGUAAUGAUGGCCAGGCUGUCUCCACCCGAGACUCAGUGAAAUUGAACUCGCUGUGAAGAUGCAGUGUACCCGCGGCAAGACGGAAAGACCCCGUGAACCUUUACUAUAGCUUGACACUGAACACUGGUCCUUGAUGUGUAGGAUAGGUGGGAGGCUUUGAAGCGUGGACGCCAGUCUGCGUGGAGCCAACCUUGAAAUACCACCCUUUAAUGGCUGGUGUUCUAACGUAGACCCGUAAUCCGGGUUGCGGACAGUGUCUGGUGGGUAGUUUGACUGGGGCGGUCUCCUCCCAAAGAGUAACGGAGGAGCACGAAGGUUGGCUAAUCCUGGUCGGACAUCAGGAGGUUAGUGCAAUGGCAUAAGCCAGCUUGACUGCGAGCGUGACGGCGCGAGCAGGUGCGAAAGCAGGUCAUAGUGAUCCGGUGGUUCUGAAUGGAAGGGCCAUCGCUCAACGGAUAAAAGGUACUCCGGGGAUAACAGGCUGAUACCGCCCAAGAGUUCAUAUCGACGGCGGUGUUUGGCACCUCGAUGUCGGCUCAUCACAUCCUGGGGCUGAAGUAGGUCCCAAGGGUAUGGCUGUUCGCCAUUUAAAGUGGUACGCGAGCUGGGUUUAGAACGUCGUGAGACAGUUCGGUCCCUAUCUGCCGUGGGCGCUGGAGAAUUGAGGGGGGCUGCUCCUAGUACGAGAGGACCGGAGUGGACGCAUCACUGGUGUUCGGGUUGUCAUGCCAAUGGCACUGCCCGGUAGCUAAAUGCGGAAGAGAUAAGUGCUGAAAGCAUCUAAGCACGAAACUUGCCCCGAGAUGAGUUCUCCCUGAGACUUUAAGUCUCCUGAAGGAACGUUGAAGACGACGACGUUGAUAGGUCGGGUGUGUAAGCGCAGCGAUGCGUUGAGCUAACCGAUACUAAUGAACCGUGAGGCUUAACCU
rnacentral:rRNA from 1 species